AUUGAACGCUGGCGGCAGGCCUAACACAUGCAAGUCGAGCGGAUGAAGGGAGCUUGCUCCUGGAUUCAGCGGCGGACGGGUGAGUAAUGCCUAGGAAUCUGCCUGGUAGUGGGGGAUAACGUCCGGAAACGGGCGCUAAUACCGCAUACGUCCUGAGGGAGAAAGUGGGGGAUCUUCGGACCUCACGCUAUCAGAUGAGCCUAGGUCGGAUUAGCUAGUUGGUGGGGUAAAGGCCUACCAAGGCGACGAUCCGUAACUGGUCUGAGAGGAGGAUCAGUCACACUGGAACUGAGACACGGUCCAGCCUCCUACGGGAGGCAGCAGUGGGGAAUAUUGGACAAUGGGCGAAAGCCUGAUCCAGCCAUGCCGCGUGUGUGAAGAAGGUCUUCGGAUUGUAAAGCACUUUAAGUUGGGAGGAAGGGCAGUAAGUUAAUACCUUGCUGUUUUGACGUUACCAACAGAAUAAGCACCGGCUAACUUCGU
rnacentral:rRNA from 1 species